rnacentral:rRNA from 1 species
GUGGGGAAUCUUAGACAAUGGGCGCAAGCCUGAUCUAGCCAUGCCGCGUGAGCGAUGAAGGCCUUAGGGUUGUAAAGCUCUUUCAGCUGGGAAGAUAAUGACGGUACCAGCAGAAGAAGCCCCGGCUAACUCCGUGCCAGCAGCCGCGGUAAUACGGAGGGGGCUAGCGUUGUUCGGAAUUACUGGGCGUAAAGCGCACGUAGGCGGAUCAGAAAGUCAGAGGUGAAAUCCCAGGGCUCAACCUUGGAACUGCCUUUGAAACUCCUGGUCUGGAGUUCGAGAGAGGUGAGUGGAAUUCCGAGUGUAGAGGUGAAAUUCGUAGAUAUUCGGAGGAACACCAGUGGCGAAGGCGGCUCACUGGCUCGAUACUGACGCUGAGGUGCGAAAGCGUGGGGAGCAAACAGGAUUAGAAACCCGGGUAGUCC